rnacentral:RNase_P_RNA from 1 species
AGAAAGCGAGAGCGGCUAACGACCGCCAGGAUAUAGUGAAAAACGAAAGGUCACGUGCCCAACGUUUUUCAUAAACCUAGGGAAAGUGCCACAGAGACAAUACUAAUUUGCGGAGCAAAUUAUCCUGAGCGAGGCCGCAAGGCCAAGUCGAAGGAUCUCCGUGAGUGAAAGGUGAAAAGUGUGCGGGUGUUGUUUGACGAAAGUCAAACCGCUACCGCACUCCCCCGUUGGUAACAACGGGGCGUGACCCGUAAAAUCUCUUCGAGAUCACGGGCCCGUGGUAAACCCUCUCCGGUGCAAGAGCAAGGUUCCCCUUCGCAUAAAGCUUCGGGGGACAGGUCGCUCGCUUGAGGUUCGCUGCGAAGCAGAUCCCAGAGAGAUGGUCAUCAGACUCCGCGCCGUCAGGUAGCGGGGCGAACAAAACUCGGCUUACCGUCUCGCCCGAAUC